GGGAAAGUGGCUCAGUGGUAGAGCGCUUGUCUUGCAUGCAUGAGGCCCUGGGUUCGAUUCCUUAGCACCA
rnacentral:tRNA from 1 species